GACGAACGCUGGCGGCGUGCCUAACACAUGCAAGUCGAACGAAGAGCGAUGGAAGCUUGCUUCUAUCAAUCUUAGUGGCGCACGGGUGUGUAACGCGUAAUCAACCUGUCCUUCAGAGGGGGACAACAGUUGGAAACGACCGAUUAUACCGCAUACGAUUUAAACUCGGCAUUGAGGAUAGAAGAAAGCAGGCCCCUACCUGUAAGCUAUCACUGCAGGAGGUGAUCGCGUUUGUUUAGCUAGUUGGGGGGGUAACGGCCAUCCAAGGCGAUGCUCAGUAGACGGUCUGAGAGGCUGAACGGCCACAUUGGGACUGAGACACGGCCCAGACUCCUACGGGAGGCAGCAGUAGGGAAUCUUCCGCAAUGGAAGAAAGUCUGACGGAGCAACGCCGCGGGAGUGAUGACGGCCUUCGGGUUGUAAAGCUCUGUUAGUUGGGAAGAACGGACUUCUUGCAAAAAGGGAGAAGAAUUGACGGUACCUAAAUAGAAAGCCACGGCUAACUACGUG
rnacentral:rRNA from 1 species